rnacentral:tRNA from 1 species
GGGGAUAUGGCGAAAUCGGUAGACGCUACGGACUUUAUUAUUAUGAAAUAUAUAAUUAUUAUUAUGAAUAUGAAAAAAUGGAAGAAUUUUUACGAAUCAAUUUAAAGUUGAAAUUUGAAAAAAGAAUGAAAUAUUCAUUCAUCAAAUCAUUCCCUCCAUAGUCUGAUAGAUCUUUUGAAGAGCUGAUUAAUCGGACGAGAAUAAAGAUAGAGUCCCGUUCUACAUGUCAAUACUGACAACAAUGAAAUUUAUAGUAAGAGGAAAAUCCGUCGACUUUAAAAAUCGUGAGGGUUCAAGUCCCUCUAUCCCCA